rnacentral:rRNA from 1 species
UACGGAGGGGGCUAGCGUUGUUCGGAAUUACUGGGCGUAAAGCGCGCGUAGGCGGCUUAGCAAGUUAGAGGUGAAAGCCCGAAGCUCAACUUCGGAAUUGCCUUUAAAACUGCAUCGCUAGAAUUGUGGAGAGGUAAGUGGAAUUCCGAGUGUAGAGGUGAAAUUCGUAGAUAUUCGGAAGAACACCAGUGGCGAAGGCGACUUACUGGACACAUAUUGACGCUGAGGUGCGAAAGCGUGGGGAGCAAACAGG